rnacentral:rRNA from 1 species
GACGAACGCUGGCGGCGUGCUUAACACAUGCAAGUCGAACGGAAAGGCCCUGCUUUUGUGGGGUGCUCGAGUGGCGAACGGGUGAGUAACACGUGAGUAACCUGCCCUUGACUUUGGGAUAACUUCAGGAAACUUGGUCUAAUACCGGAUAGGAGCUCCUGCUGCAUGGUGGGUGUUGGAAAGUUUCGGCGGUUGGGGAUGUACUCGCGGCUUAUCAGCUUGUUGGUGGGGUAGUGGCUUACCAAGGCUUUGACGGGUAGCCGGCCUGGGAGGGUGACCGGGAACAUGGGGACUGAGAUACGGCGCAGACUCGUACGGGAGGCAGCAGUGGGGAAUAUUGCACAAUAGGCGGAAGCGUGAUGAAGCGACGCCGGGUGCGGAAUGACGGACUUCGGGUUGUAAAACGCUUUCGCCUGUGACGAAGCGUGAGUGACGGUAAUGGAUAAAGAAGCACCGGCUAACUACGUG